rnacentral:lncRNA from 10 species
GGGGUGCGGAGGUCAGGAUGGAGCUGGGGGCGAGAGGCUCGGAGUGGGAGGACUCCCCAGCCAGCUGUGCUCCUAUAAGAGGCAGCGUUUCAGCUUCCUGAACCUGUCAGGACAAAAUAGCUGGAAGCGCACUCUAGAAAUAGCCUUGGGGAAUGAGAAGGACUCAGGCUGCUGUUCCAAACCGCUCAAGUGAAACAGCAGACAGGGCACUGGCUGUGGGAACUUAGCAGAGUCCCUUAGCUUUGUGCCUCUGAUGACUCCCCUGUAAAAUGUGGAUGAUGAUAGCACAGCACUAUGUGGUUGAGAGGAGUAAUGAGCUAAUCCGUGUAUCCAAGCACAGGCCAUGGCAAAUACCAAGCCCACGAUUCUAAUUCUCCCAUUUCAUCUCUACUAAUGUCUUCCUGCAAAGGAAGGCACUUUGGCCAGCAGUUUCUAUGAACAAGACACGUCCAAAGUACAGAUCCAUGCCUGGAUCAGCUGCAGGGUGGCUUUUGGUGGUGCCAUUCUUUCAUUUCUUUGUUCAUGAGGUCAUCCAGAGCUCUUUGGAGCAUUUUCUACUUGCUGGGCUUGGAGGACAAUGCAAAGAUGAACAAUAGAUGUUCUCUGUCUCUUUGAAGGUCAUAAUCAUCUGGAGAGACACAUUGGCAGAGAGACUACCUUAAUACAAUGGGGGAGAGCCCCAUGUGAAGACUGGAGUUGUGCUGCCACAAGCCAAGAAUGUACCAGAAGCCAGGAGGGAGAAGUGGAACAGAUCCUUCCUAGCACUUUCAGAGGGAGCCCGGUCCUCCUAACAUUGGGAUUUUGGAUUUCUGGCCUCCAGAGCUCCUGACAAUAUUUCUGUUGUUCUAAGCCACACAGUUUGUGGAACUUUGUUACAGCAACUCUGAAACUCAAGCCGCAUUCUAUCUGGGCAAAAAAUAUGUGCAAAGGUACAGAGGUGUACGGGAACUGCGGGAACUUCUGAGUUAAGUCAGAAUUGUUGUUUUGGUGGUUCAAAAAUAGGAGAACAUUGACAAAUUUGCAUGGUUCAAGUUAAGCUAUCAAGUUGGAAUAAUGUACCAGGUUGAGUGGUAGAUGGGGGGGAUCAGUUUACUGAAUAAAGCUCCAGUUGGAAUAAACUGUGUUCCCUCCUAUGCGGCCAGUGAAUCGUUCUGAUAAGAAAUCACCAUGGAUGUGACAGGUGUAUGAAGAAUGGCUAGUAUUACUAAUUAAUGGCAAGGAGCUCUGGUUGUGAACGUUUUCCAAAAUUCCAUACAUAAGGGAAGUUUGCAAACAUUUUCCAAAAUUCUAUCCAUAUUCUAUUUUAGGAAAAAUGACUAUGGGACUUUCUUUCCCCAGCUGUUUUGAGGCUUUAAAAUUUAUCUUAGAACCUCUUGGAACUAUCCCAUCAGAAUAACUGGAAGCCAGAUAAAACAUUAGGCAGUUCAUUCAUUUUAUUGGACGUGGAGUUUUGUCAGAACCAGCAUUUACUGUACUUCUCAUAGCUGUAAGCAAAGCAUUAGAAUUCAGCAACCUAAUGCUUUUCUUUUCUCUGCCAAGCGGGGUCGUGAAAUGGGAGAGAAAGCCUCCUUGCCUCUGUUCUUUGCAAACAGCAUGUAUUUAUUUGGGGUCAGUAGAGCAAAACAUCUGAUCGCUGCUCUAAGUGUUUGCAAACUUUUGGGCACUGGAGGGGACAUGCAUAUGAGAUGGAACAGGGCAUAGAUAAAAGAAUUCCCGCAUUACCCACCAUCCUGCCCAAAGAAACCACACGACUUCCAUGGCAGUCCCAGACUACAGAAAGGGAGAACACAGCAAGCGCCUGCAUUCUCUUCAUUUAGGCCCCAAGUCAUCCAAAAAUUGCCUACCACGGCAGUAGACGAGUUCACAUUUUAAUCAAAACAGGACUGCACAGAAACAUACGUCCACGUGAAAACCAGUACCCAGUGUUUAUGGUGGCUUUCUUUUUAAUUGCUAAAAACUGGUAACAACCUAAAUGUCCAUCGUCAGAGGAAGCGAUGAACAAACUGCGGUGCAUUCACACAACAGCGGUGCUACACAGCAGCGAAGAGGAGCAGCCGACUGACACGCACAACAACUCGGAUCUCAGGAGCAUCGCACCGAGCUGGAGAAGCCAGACACGAGCCGCUGCACACCGUAUGAUUCCAUGGCAUUCUGGGAAAGGCAAAACUCCAAGCACAGAGAACGCAUGAGUUGUUGCCCAGGUUUGGGGUUCCAGGAAGAGGAUGGAUUACUAAGAAGCACAGGGGAAUGUUUUGGGGUGAUGAAAAUGUUGUAUGUCUUGUCUUUUUCUUUUCUUUUUGUGAAACAGAGUUUCACUCUUGUCGUCCAGGCUGGAGAGCAAUGGUGUGAUCUCAGCUCACUGCAACCUGCACCUCCCAGGUUCAAGCAAUUCUCCAGCCUCAGCCUCUUGAAUAACUGAGAUUACAGGCACAUGCCUCCCCGCCCAGCUAAUUUUUGUAUUUUUAGUAGAGACGGGUUUUCACCAUGUUGGUCAGGCUGGUCUUGAACUCCUGACCUCAGGUGAUCCGCCCACCUCAGCCUCCCAAAGUGCUGGGAUUACAGGCAUGAGGCACCACAUUCGGCCAAAGUUCUAUGUCUGGUCACAGCCAUUUACAUUCAUCAGAAUUCACAGAACCAUCCAUCCUGAAGUGGUGAAUUUGCUGAAUAGAAAUUAUACCUCAAAGACCAGACGUUCAAAAAUGCCUUUGUGUUUUGUAAGCUUCAACACUCGCCCAGUGGGAACCACAAAAGCGUUGCCCAAUUUGUUGAAAGCAUUGCUGUUAUAACUUCAGCGUGUGGGGAGAAGUUAUGUUUUCAUACUGUCUUUGUCUGCUCUGGCCACCGUUACAAAACACCAUAGACUGGGUGGACUGAUCAACACGCAUUUCUUUCCCACAGUGGAGGCUGGAAGUCCCCAAGACCCAGGUUCCUGGGGAGGGCUUUCUUCCUAGCCUGCAGGUGACCAACAUCUGCUGUGUCCUCUUGUGACUCUUCCUCAGUUCCUGUGCCAGAGGGGUCGGGGGACAAGUGGGCGUCCAUCUUGUAAGUGUCCUCAUAAGGCCACCAUCCUGUCAAC